rnacentral:rRNA from 1 species
GGCCCGCACAAGCGGUGGAGCAUGUGGUUUAAUUCGACGCAACGCGAAGAACCUUACCUGGCCUUGACAUGCAGAGAACUUUCCAGAGAUGGAUUGGUGCCUUCGGGAACUCUGACACAGGUGCUGCAUGGCCGUCGUCAGCUCGUGUCGUGAGAUGUUGGGUUAAGUCCCGCAACGAGCGCAACCCUCAUUUUUAGUUGCCUUUAUGGAACUCUAGAAAGACUGCCGGUUAUAAACCGGAGGAAGGCGGGGAUGACGUCAAGUCAGCAUGCCCCUUACAACCUGGGCUACACACGUGCUACAAUGGGUGAGACAAUGAGAUGCAACUCUGCGAAGACAAGCUAAUCUAUAAACUCACUCUAAGUUCGGAUUGUAGGCUGCAACUCGCCUGCAUGAAGUUGGAAUCGCUAGUAAUCGCUGGUCAGCUAUACAGCGGUGAAUUCGUUCCCGGGCCUUGUACACACCGCCCGUCA